UGUUCGGAUAUUCCAACUGACUUCUCCCUACAACUCAGUGGCUGAAGCCAGAUCCAACGUUGAAAUCGUGAAAUCUACAAAGGAACCACAGAGCACUAAGAAGCAAGCAGAGAGCCACAGACAAUUCUGGGUCUCCUGAUAAGCAGCCCUGCCUUUCAAUACCCAACAGAUGUGAAGUCCCACCUCCUCCGGCUCAGAAGCAAUGGAGUCAGCUCAUAACGGACCAAAGCCUCAGAAACUGCAAGCACAAUGAAUAUUUCUACCUUUAAGCUGUGCCCUUGAGUGUUUUGUU
rnacentral:lncRNA from 1 species